rnacentral:lncRNA from 1 species
ACAUCAAAUUAAGUACUUAGCUUAAACUAAUUCCCUAAAGAUGUGUUUAGAUACUAAAAAACAAUUGAAUGGAAGUGUAAUUGCUAGGUAGCAAUUACAUUAUCUUGUAAUUACAAUAAAUUUUAAUUCUCUAAACAUGUUUGAUUGCAUCGCAAUUUCUUAUAUCAUAUUUAAUAGUAUAAAAAUAUAUACCUAGGAAGGGAUUGAAUAAUAAAAUGAAAGAGAAUCUUGAUCCAAAACUUGAAAAUAAUUAAGUUCACUUAGCUUCCCGUUUGUCUC